CGUGGCGAUCGUCAGUGGUUCUCCUAACGAUUAGCGUGGCCAAGCUGGUCUCUUCUCCAAACACGCAUUGCACCUUCGUCAACACAUCAUCAAGAUGAAGCUCAUUCUUAUUCCAUUGAUCUCUCCAUUUCAAAGCUAAAUCAAUCUCUCAAUCUGAUUGACAAUCCUGGAGUUAGGGUUUUGGCUACCGCUCCCUCCUUCAUGUGUGCGUCACUGCGCCACAGGUUUUUGAUUCUGUGAUUGAGAAUUUGGUCAUAACGAUUGUUAGUGUUCUGUCUUCUUCAAUAAGUUGUAGAGUGUUGAAAUUUGAGAAAGAAGAGGUUUUGCGGACUGGCAGGUCCAUUUGCCAGCGGGAUUGCGUGGAAUUCAUUGAAGUUGUUAUUGAUGUUCUAUCAAAAUUGGAUGAACAUGGGAUGCCUCUCAUUUGCUAUUAUGUGCUGCUGCUAGAGUCAUGGUUUCGGCAUCCUGCUCUGGAUAUUUGGUCCCAUCAAUGCAUGUUUUGGAUGUUAAAUCAAUUAGUAGAAAAGAAGCAAUGCUAUCACAAACUUCAUCUGCCGCUUGCCCAGAGAAUUCUCCCUUAACGACAGUGAACUACCACUGAGGUUGCUGUCAUCGUAUCUUGACGCACUAACACUAAAACAUGAUUUUUCUAAUAUCUUGGAAGACACCAUGAAAAGACCUUCCCUUUCUUUGAGCAAGGGAUUUUAUGAGAGGAUGGAAUGGUGCUGGUGUUGACGGCCCUGUCUGGAACCCUCUCAUCUUCAAGUUUUCAGCAAUUAGUUUACGGUAAAUAAGCAAUUCAGUUUGUCUUGUCAAGAAACAAUUUGGCCCGACUUCUAUGCCAUCUGCAAUGAAGGUUAUAUCUAGUGAUUCCAAAUCUAUCUGGUAUAUUCUUACUCCAUGUGAAUGGCAAAUGUUAGCAUAAUUACAGCAAUUAACAUGAUUAUAGAAAAUUUGUGUAGCAUAAUUACAAUAAUUAUUAUAGAAGAUUUGUGUAGCAUAAUUACAGCAAUUAUUAUUCUUGUCUAAAUUAGCUCAUAUUCUCAUGCAUAAAUAGAUGAAAUAUCUCUGUAAAUAAAACACAGACAAAUACACAAUCCUUUCCUUCAUUACUUGUAUUUUUUCUUCUAAUAGCAAAAAACCUCUUUGGCAAUUAGUAUGCCUUCAUCCUACUUCCAAUAUGUAUUUGAAAUGUUGCUUGGCAGGGUUCUCACAAUCUGCUUUCCAGCUUGGUUUUAUUUUGCUUCAGUUUCACUCUUCUCCAACAAUUGUUUUCAAAGAAUUGUCAAUUGAAGUGCACAUUAGGGAUACCCAAUUUUAGACAAACAAGUGAAAUGGGAUGACCUGCUGCCGCUAGGUACUUAACACGUUGCUUGGAUUUUGAGCCCCGAUAACAAAUCUCAUCAGGAUCUGCUGUUUGAGAUUUUGACUAAAAUAUCGAGUGUUGGUCUUUGAAACAAAUAGACUCAGCUAUUCAUGAGAGGUAUAGUUGACUACAGAUCCGAAUGCUGUGACACUAAGGAAGAUUUUGGUCUUGGAAACAAGUAUUAUUGUCAAGUCAUCUGACUUCAGCUCAAAGAAUUUUUAAGUAUCACGAAUUACAGUGAUGAAUCAACUCGACAUCCUGCGAGGGAAAAACAUAUAUUUUUUUGGGCAAAACAGUAUGCUUCUCUGGAAAAUCCCAUUAGGUAAUUUGAUUGGUUGUCCUAGUUAUGUAAAGGUUGCUUCAUUUAACGGAAGAUGGACUUGAACUGUUGUUUCAUUAUGUUGCAACUGGUAGGUUGCUUCAUUUCAUAAGUAAGAAUUCUAAAAUGAAACAUGUGGAAAAUUCUGAGGGGCAAAAAAUCUUUCUACGAAGUAAUAAAUUUAAUAAAAAGGAAGCUGUUGCAGGUGCCUGUCUAGUCUUCAGUUUAACUGAUGUUGUCGAGAGGCUGUUCUCUUCAUUAUUUGAGAAUGGAAAAAGUGGACUGGGUAUUAUUUUCCUGGUAAAAUUGUGGGCAAGCAGGCAUUUGAUAACGUGCAUCAAGAGCCUGAUCCAGCCCAAUAUUGUUGAAGAUGUAAAUGUGUUGCUGGUGGAUCUCCAUAGCAGAUUGGAGCGAUGGCAGUGUCAAGGGCAAGAAAUAUAAAAACUAGACAAAGAUCUUUAGAAUUUGACAAUGAACUGGUUACUUUAGAAUUUUUGUUCAUGGAUUUUUUGGUUGAACAAUUGCACACAUGCACACGUGUGCGCUAGCACACACAAAUACACAGAUAACAAUUAUUUUUUGUUUUUCUGUUGUUUCUGGAUUAUUGUUAACAACUGAUAGUACGUUUUAGUACAAUAAGUAUGACUGCAACAUUUGUACAAUUUA